UAGUUCUGAUUACCGUCGUCAACAUGGAAGAACUCAUACUGGAGAGAAGCCCUGUGAAUGUGCACAAUGUGGGACGCCUUCACCAGCGCUCUGACCUUCGAAUGCACAAGCGAACUCAUACAGGGGAGAAGCCCUAUGAAUGUAAGCAGUUGGAAAAGCCCUUGCUACAUCCAGUCAGCUUCACUCGCAUGAAUGGACUCUUAUAGAAGUCCUUAAAAAUGUGGAAAAGCCUAGAACUCACUCUGCAGAGAAGCCCUACGAUUGUGAACAAUGUGGGAAAGCCUUCACUGGUUCCUCUUACCUUCACAUAGACGAACGAUUUCAUACUGCAGAGCAGCCUUGUCAGUGUGAACAUCUGGAUAAGCCUUCACUACUUCUGCUCACCUUCACACACAUGAAGCAACUCACGCUGGAGAGAAGCCCUACAAAUGCUUGCAGUGUGGGAAAACCUUCACUACAUCUAGUCAUUUCCACAUGAAUGAACUCAUGUUGGAGAAAAGCCCACUGAAUGCAAAGAAAAGUGAGAAAUCAUCUGAUAUUCUCAGUCACCUUCCAUGACAUCAUGUACUCAUAGAAAAGUCGUCGAGUGCUCUUAUAUAUAGGUUUUCACUGCAAAUGAGAGUGUUGAGUUUUCUAAUUGGUACGAGGAUUGUUGUGUACAAAUCUUACAACGAUGGUUUUCUGAUGUUGAAACUUGGUAAAGCAUGAAAAUACGACGUGGGACAAAAAGAAUAACCAAUUGCGAACAUUUCAUUGUGUGGAUAUAAAAGUGAAAUAAAACAGCAGGGAUGCGUGCUUAAUCUUCAACAUUAGAAGAAGCAGAACUCGUCACCGGUAAACGGCGG